rnacentral:rRNA from 1 species
UACGGAGGGUGCGAGCGUUGUCCGGAAUCACUGGGCGUAAAGGGCGCGUAGGUGGUCUGGUAAGCGUGCGGUGAAAUCGCGGGGCCCAACCCCGCGCCGGCCGUGCGAACUGCUGGACUGGAGCACUGUAGAGGCGGGUGGAAUUCCGGGUGUAGCGGUGGAAUGCGUAGAGAUCCGGAAGAACACCGGUGGCGAAGGCGGCCCGCUGGGCAGUGGCUGACACUGAGGCGCGACAGCGUGGGGAGCAAACAGG